AAGACGUCAUUUAGACGUUGUUUUUUGGGCUAAAUCACGUCGGCCCGUCAUGACCUUCAUUUAGUCCAAAAAAAGACGUUGAAAACUGGUCUUUGUUUGGUCCGUCUAAUUCAGUCCAAAUUUAGCCUAAAAUUAGACGUCUUUUUCGGACCACUUUUCAACGUGUCUCCAUUCAAUAAUAAUCCAGACAAAAUAUGCAUGAAUGUAUACGCAGAAAAAAUAAAUACUGAGCACAUUGAACGAUAAUGAAAUGCUUUGUUUAAAGUCUAUUAAUAUUUCUGUUUAUUUUAAUUAAAUAAAUAUGUUAAAUGUGCUCUAAACAGGUCAUUUUGGUCCACUACAGCACUGAUAGAAGCACUUCAUUUUCAUCUUUUAACAAAUAUCUUUAUUUUCUUUUAAUAUGAUAUUAUUGGCAGAGGCGCGCGACCAUCUCAUGCUUUGUGGUCACGUGAUUAUUCAACCGGAGACGCGCGUUAGGGAUUUUCUCCUCAGACCAGUGUUUCUGUUUUGUGGUCGAUUCUGGGAUCCUUUUCUUGGUGUGUCUUGAUGUUUUCUAUUGGCUAAAGACAUGUCUCUGUGAAACUGCCAAUCUCAGGUAGGAGCUGCUGGUUUGUGGUUGGCAGUAUGGAUCACAGUCUGCGACUCAUGAGGAGCUGGGCUGGAGACAUGAAGAGGUUGUUAACAGGUGUGUUCCUGUACUCUCUCUACCAAAAUGAGAUAGGGAUUAGUCAUGUGGGCCAAUGUGUGUGAAACUUAAUGUUUUUGCAAAGUCUUCAAACUCUUUGUGUUGAUAUUGUGGACCUUUUAAUUUCACUGGUAUGCCAUGUCUCGCGAAAGUGACUAAGCUUGCUGAUGACAGUGGCAGCCAUAGUAGUGUUGAGUUUGUCUAAUUGGAAGAAAUGGUUAUAGUAAUCUACAUUAACCAUUUAUUCAUUGUUCGAGGUGAAGAGGUCUGAAGCUAAUACCUGCCACUGUCUGAUUGGUAUUUCAUUAGGAAUCAUGGGUUCCUUGGUAUUUGAAUUAUGUUGAACCAGGCAAGUACUCCAUCUUUCGAUCAUGUGUUCUAUCUGCUUACACAUUUCUAGCCAGAAUAACAUUUCGUGCUCUUAGCUUAGACUUCUCAGCGUGUGCGCAUAUCUCAGGCCAUCCAUCCAAGAUCAUCUAUCUGAGCUGCUGAAAACUGCCUCGGUACGGAUCUGUUGGAGCUUUGUGUCACUGACUAUAUUUCUGCAAAUUCCUGUUCCGUGUCAAAUGGCUUAUGCAAGACUGAAUCCAUAAAGGGGAUGGUCUGUGGAGACUGUGGGCGAUUCCUUCUGCUGUCAUUUAAACAUGAGCAGGAGUAAUGACGGGAUUUAAAUGGACGAAGCUAAUAUUAUGCCAGAGUCUGCUGCUUAUGCUGUAACCAUAAAGCAACCAGGACAACACACCUGGAGUGACCGAGAGCAGGAUGAAGAAAGAAUCGGACGAGAAAAUAUCAACUGGUGCCCAUGAGGAGACAUAUUGUUCUUGGACCUGCUUUUUCUGUUUAGUAAUAAGUGGUUUUAUGUGGUUACAUAAAAGUAAUUUAAUAUUCAAUCCACAAGCUAAAUUUCCUACAUUUUCUUAAAAGGGUAGUUGACCCAAAAAGGAAAAUUCUGUCAUUUACACAAACAGUUUGGUUACAAACAUUUCUCACAAUAUCUGCCUUCCUGUUUAUCAGAACAAAGAAAUGUAUGCGGGUUUGUAACAACUAGAGAGUGUGUAAAUGACAUAAUUUUCAUUUUUGGGUGAAGUACCCCUUUAACAUUUUUAUACACAGGGGUAGGGGUGUGCAGCGGAGUCAGUAUUUGUAUCUGUAACAGUCUCAAAAUUAUUUGUAUCUGUAUUUGUAUUCGGAUUAAACCGGAAGUGGGUGGGUUGACAACUCAUAUUACAUUAAAAUGGCAUUUUAAAUGCAUUUUUGCUUUUUAUUAUAAUUAUAACUUAAAUAACUGUAAAUAUUUAUUCAAAAUAAUAAUACAAAAUUUUAAUCAAAAAGACAAAUAACUUGAUUCUCGUUAGUAAUACUCAUGGAAAGCAAACAACU